UGUUAUUUUAAGAAAACACAUACUUCUGUAAAAAAAAUUCUUUGUUAUCUAAUUUAAUAAAGAAUUACAAUUUAAAGGUGAUAGAUAUGCAAGUUGUCAGCAUUCCAAGUCCAAGGAAUUGGAGUUAUAUCUAGCCGACAAAAGUGAUAGACUCUCAGUCGAACUAUUUCAGCAACACGAUACGGGCUUUCCCAGUUUGGCAUCAGCUUUGAUC
rnacentral:lncRNA from 1 species